rnacentral:rRNA from 1 species
UACGUAGGGUGCAAGCGUUGUCCGGAAUUAUUGGGCGUAAAGAGCUCGUAGGCGGUUCGUCACGUCGGCUGUGAAAACCUGAGGCUCAACCUCAGGCCUGCAGUCGAUACGGGCGGACUUGAGUACUGCAGGGGAGACUGGAAUUCCUGGUGUAGCGGUGAAAUGCGCAGAUAUCAGGAGGAACACCGGUGGCGAAGGCGGGUCUCUGGGCCGUAACUGACGCUGAGGAGCGAAAGCGUGGGGAGCGAACAGG